GAAUAUUGGACAAUGGGCGAAAGCCUGAUCCAGCCAUGCCGCGUGUGUGAAGAAGGUCUUCGGAUUGUAAAGCACUUUAAGUCGGGAGGAAGGGCAGUAAGCGAAUACCUUGCUGUUUUGACGUUACCGACAGAAUAAGCACCGGCUAACUCUGUGCCAGCAGCCGCGGUAAUACCGGGGGUGCAUGCGUUAAUCGGAAGUACUGGGCGUGUAGAGCGCGUAGGUGGUUCGUUGAGUGGGAUGUGAAAUGCCCGGGCUCAACAUGGGAACUGCCUCCAAAACUGGCGAGCUAGAGUAGGGCAGAGGGUGGUGGAAUUUCCUGUGUAGCGGUGAAAUGCGUAGAUAUAGGAAGGAACACCAGUGGCGAAGGCGACCACCUGGGCUCAUACUGACACUGAGGUGCGAAAGCGUGGGGAGCAAACA
rnacentral:rRNA from 1 species